rnacentral:rRNA from 1 species
CGCGAAAACUUUACAAUGCUGGCAACAGCGAUAAGGGAACCUCGAGUGCCAGGUUACAAAUCUGACUGUCGAGAUGCCUAAAAAGCAUUUCAUAGCAAGGGCCGGGCAAGACCGGUGCCAGCCGCCGCGGUAACACCGGCGGCUCGAGUGGUAACCGUUAUUAUUGGGUCUAAAGGGUCUGUAGCCGGCCGGAUAAGUCUCUUGGGAAAUCUGGCAGCUCAACUGUCAGGCUUUCAGGAGAUACUGUCUGGCUCGAGGCCGGGAGAGGUGAGAGGUACUUCAGGGGUAGGGGCGAAAUCUUGUAAUCCUUGAAGGACCACCAGUGGCGAAGGCGUCUCACCAGAACGGACCUGACGGCAAGGGACGAAAGCUAGGGGCACGAACCGGAUUAGAUACCCGGGUAGUCCUAGCCGUAAACGAUACUCGCUAGGUGUCGGCCACGGUGCGACCGUGGUCGGUGCCGUAGGGAAGCCGUGAAGCGAGCCACCUGGGAAGUACGGCCGCAAGGCUGAAACUUAAAGGAAUUGGCGGGGGAGCACCACAACGGGUGGAGCUUGCGAUUUAAUUGGAUUCAACGCCGG